GAUGAACGCUGGCGGCGUGCCUAAUACAUGCAAGUCGAGCGAACAGACGAGGAGCUUGCUCCUUUGACGUUAGCGGCGGACGGGUGAGUAACACGUGGAUAACCUACCUAUAAGACUGGGAUAACUUCGGGAAACCGGAGCUAAUACCGGAUAACAUGUUGAACCGCAUGGUUCAACAGUGAAAGACGGUCUUGCUGUCACUUAUAGAUGGAUCCGCGCCGCAUUAGCUAGUUGGUAAGGUAACGGCUUACCAAGGCAACGAUGCGUAGCCGACGUGAGAGGGUGAUCGGCCACACUGGAACUGAGACACGGUCCAGACUCCUACGGGAGGCAGCAGUAGGGAAUCUUCCGCAAUGGGCGAAAGCCUGACGGAGCAACGCCGCGUGAGUGAAGAAGGUCUUCGGAUCGUAAAACUCUGUUAUUAGGGAAGAACAAAUGUGUAAGUAACUAUGCACGUCUUGACGGUACCUAAUCAGAAAGCCACGGCUAACUACGUG
rnacentral:rRNA from 1 species